rnacentral:tRNA from 1 species
GGGGCCGUAGCUCAGUUGGUAGAGCGCCUGCUUUGCAAGCAGGAGGUCGUCGGUUCGAUCCCGACCGGCUCCA